GGGCGUAAGGGCUCGCAGGUGGUUUGUUAAGUUGGUGGUUUAAUCUCUGGGCUCAACCCAGAGUCAGCCUCCAAAACUGGCGAACUUGAGUACGAUAGGGGAUAGCGGAAUUCUCGGUGUAGCGGUGGAAUGCGUAGAUAUCGAGAGGAACACCAAUGGCGAAGGCAGCUAUCUGGAUCGUAACUGACACUCAUGAGCGAAAGUGCGGGGAGCGAACAGGAUUAGAUACCCUGGUAGUCCGCACCGUAAACGUUGUAUACUAGUUGUUGGCGGUUUCAACGCCGUCAGUGACGACGCUAACGCAUUAAGUAUACCGCCUGGGGAGUAUGCUCGCAAGGGUGAAACUCAAAGAAAUUGACGGGGGCCCGCACAAGCGGUGGAGCAUGUGGUUUAAUUCGACGAUACGCGAGAAACCUUACCUGGGUUUGACAUGGAUUUGACUGGGAUAGAGAUAUUCCUUCCCGCAAGGGCAGAUUCACAGGUGUUGCAUGGUCGUCGUCAGCUCGUGUUGUGAGAUGUUGGGUUAAGUCCCGCAACGAGCGCAACCCCUAUCUUCUGUUGCCAAUAUUAAGUUAGGCACUCUGAAGAAACCGCCGGUGACAAACCGGAGGAAGGUGGGGAUGACGUCAGAUCAGCAUGGCCCUUAUAUCCAGGGCUACACACGUGCUACAAUGGCCGGUACAGAGGGACGCAAAGCCGC
rnacentral:rRNA from 1 species